UUUCAAAAACAUCGCCUCUUGACCUAUAUAAGAGGUCCAGCCUGCCCAGUGACUCUGUUCAACGGCCGCGGUAUCCUAACCGUGCGAAGGUAGCGUAAUCACUUGUUCUCUAAUUGUGGACUAGUAUGAAUGGCAUCACGAGGGUUAUACUGUCUCCUUUUUCUAAUCAGUGAAACUAAUCUCCCCGUGAAGAAGCGAGGAUAUAACUAUAAGACGAGAAGACCCUAUGGAGCUUAAAAUAUUGUGGCAGUUACUACACAGUACUUAACUUCCUGAAUACUUACUUUUAAGGUAAUAUGACUACAAGUUUUUGGUUGGGGUGACCACGGAGUAUAAAACAACCUCCAUAUUGAAAGAAAAUUCUAAGCCAAAACCUACACGUUUAAGCAUCAAUACACUGACAUCCAUUGACCCAAUAUAAUUGAGCAACGAACCAAGUUACCCUAGGGAUAACAGCGCAAUCCACUUCAAGAGCCCCUAUCGACAAGUGGGUUUACGACCUCGAUGUUGGAUCAGGGUAUCCCAAUGGUGCAGCCGCUAUUAAAGGUUCGUUUGUUCAACGAUUAAAACCCUACGUGAUCUGUUUCC
rnacentral:rRNA from 1 species